rnacentral:ncRNA from 1 species
GUAAAUGCAGAGAAGAGGAAUAGUAGGAAUCCAAAGGAUUUCAGAGAGUCGUUGGCUGGUGUGAAACGAUAAUCCGAAGAUUUUGAACUCGCCUUGGAGCAGCCGAUUGAACAGAUGUGAGACAGGAAAGUUUGACAUUAGUAGAUUUGGACGGAGCCUGACCGUUACAGCGGGAAGAUAUAGGAUGCAUGCAUCUUUGUAUCUGUGAGAGCAUACGAUAUGUAUGAAUUAGAGUGGUACCGCGUAAGAGGUUAGAAUGAUGAAACUUGCGUCUCUAAG